ACGUAGACGGCCAGCUCGCGCGGAGCACGCGUCAGAUGGUGCCUAGGAGAGUCGGUCCAUCACGCCUAACUAGCCCUACUCUAACGCACACCUAGCACGCUGCACGGACACCCCCGUGCUCGCGGACACGCCUUCCACCGUUCCACGCAACCUUCGUGUCCCGCUCGUGCACACACACGCGCACCCGACGCACCAGCGUGGCUUAGACCCAACACACACACACACCCUAAGCCACGCCUAGAGGAGCCCGUCAUCCUCGACGUCGUCGUCGUCAAGCAGAGCCUGCUCCGUGGUCUGCGCCUUCCGGGGCCUCGGACACUCACGCCGGAAGUGCCCACGCUGUACACAGCCGUAACAGUGCCCGCGCCACUUCCCUCUGCCGCCCAACGCCGUGCUGGGCCGCACCAUCGUCGUGGAGAGGAGAGGAGAGGAGGGAGAAAGAGAUAGGAAAGAGGAGAGAGAGGCGUGACAGCUGACGGGAGAGGGUCACCGGCCGGCGUCAGCCUGCGCCCGCGCGCCGGCGAGGUCAGACGCGAGCUGGCGGUCGGCGGAAGCUCGAUUCGUUCCUGGUAUGCUCUCGUGAGUGGGUGGGUGGGGUUUGGGGAAAAGGUUCGGGCUUGGGCUUUCGGAACACCCAGAAGAAGUCUGGAGAGUGACCGGCAGGCGUGGCCCGCCACCACCGCGGCUCCAAGAGAACAAUCUCCACCACAACCGGCGAUGGCGAUGGCGACAAGCCGAGGCGGCAUUGCAGGUCCUACUGCGAGCGGGCAAAGGAGGUGCUCUUGGGUCGAGGUGGGGCAGGCGAGUCUCCAAGGCAACGGGCCGAGGCAGGUUGGUCUGUUGUUGCUGCUGCCGAUGGACGGAAGAGGUACUCUCUGGUUGAGGCGGCAGUGUCGUCGGUGAUGCUAAGGCUUUGUUUGGUAGAAGUGGAUUGAGCAGGUUCGGGGAAGAGGGGAUUUGAGGGGAUUUGAUGAAUCCCUUCCUUUCAUCCAAUCCUCUCGAAUCCUCGGGGCUUUGCUUCCACCGGUUCCUCGAGGAGGGUCCUGAAACAUAUGGAUAGGAACGGAUUGAAGGGGAACGGAGGGGAUUCGGUUAAGCAAACCCCUCUUAUCAAAUGGACGCCCGAGGUUCUAUGGGGUUUCUGGUCCUCCCGGGAAUUUUCCUCUCGAAACCUCCUGAAUCCCCCGUGCCAAACGAGGCCUCAGGGGGAACUAAUGGGCAAGCGAGACCAGCAGGGGAAGGAAUAGGGUGUGGCCUCACAUGUUGGCUUGUUGCUUGCGCCUGAAUAAGACAGAGACCGGCAACCAAUGGACACCAUCUAGUGUUGGUUAGAAGUUACAACAGACUCUGAGGUAGGAUGUGAUUCUUAUCUUUGAAGAGUGGCAUGCUCGAGUUGUGAAUCUGCUAUUAUACAUUGGGUGAGGAAAGCAAUAGGCAUACAUAUGAUAGUCAUCAAUCUCUUGACCGUGAGGCCAAUGAGAUUUACGAACUUCAUGCAGUAACACACUAAAUAGGUAUAGAUUCAGUCCUCACCAUAGACAGGUUCAUCCUAUUGCUUGCCUUGCUAUUCCAUGUUCAUUUUUAUUUUGUGCUAAUGAAGUCCUUGCUGGAUUAAUUACAAGGAGGUGUGUUAUGCUGGAGCAGGAGGCUGGAAGGGAUCUAAUACUAUGAAGGUAGAAAGCCUAAGAUAAAAACUGAUUUUGGAGGGAGAUUCAACCUGGGAGAGGUGCACAGAACUACUCAAGAAAAGAGUAGACUCACAUCAUUGGCUGAUGCAAAAAUACCUCAAGGAAUUGUUGUUUCAAAUUGCAGUUGCGUCCAAGGUUGGCUGAGUGCUUUAGCGUUACUAAUGACCCCGAGUUAUCCUAUGCAAGGCGCCGUCGAUUGCAAAUGAUGUUUUUAGUGGAAUGGAACAAUAUAGAACAUUGGAGUGGAUAACCUUAGUACAAUUAUAAUUCUGCAUGCAAUAUUUUUGUACUAGGUUGAACCAGAUAGUCUCUUCCAAUGGAAAUUGGAGGGUGGCCUUUCUUACGAUAAA